GCGGCUGUGGCGGAAUGGUAGACGCUGUGGACUUAAAAUCCAUUGUCCUUUGGACGUGGGGGUUCAAGUCCCCCCAGCCGCACCA
rnacentral:tRNA from 1 species